GGAAGGCAGGGCAAUCCAGGGGAGCUCAGGUGCACGCAAUGUACCUGAGUGACUGGAAGGGUGUAGCUGGGAUCUGCCCCUUCCCAGACCUCAUUUAAGGGUUGGCAGUGGAGGCAAGGGUAUUUUGCUGGAGUUUCCUCUGUACCUGAGGCCUUCUGAAGCCGCAAGUGUUACAGCAUCCUUUAGGACCUCAAUUACGUUUGCUAUUCUUAGAAGCUCCUCCCAUGGAAAGUACGCUUGGAAAAAAAAGAUAGGAAAGGAACCCCAUAUCAAAAGGUUUCAUGCCUUCUGUUUAUCCCAUCUCAACACAAUUCAUGUUGAAAACAACAACAACAAAACAAAGGUUUGGGGAAAAAGUAAAACCACAAUGUGUAUACAUGUUUACUUGGAUGCUAUUUUACGUACUGUCUUUCUACGUCAGCAGA
ensembl:lncRNA